UUGCUUGGCUUACUAAAGGGGAAAAGCAGCAGCACCAGGAAUGAUUUGCUAAUCUUCUUGUCUCUACUUUUAUUUGUUAAAAAGGGGAUUCCACUAAAGCAAAAACAAAUGAAGCUUAAACAACUAGAAAGCCUUUUAGGCGAUCUUCAACAAUUCUCAAACCCAAAGGUGGAGCUCGAACAGUACCCAACUGGACCUCAUAUCGCUUCUCGCUUGCUUUACACUGCUGAGAAUUCGUUUGAGGAUAUUAGCAACAAGGUGGUGGCAGAUUUUGGUUGUGGAUGUGGCACUCUAGGCGCUGCUGCUGCUCUCUUGGGUGCUGAGCAGGUUAUUGGCAUUGAUAUUGAUUCUCAAUCUCUUGAAAUAGCUUCUAUGAAUGCUGAAGAUCUUGAGUUGGACAUAGAUUUUGUUCAUUGUGACAUCAGUGGUCUAGGAUGGAGAGGUCAAAUUGUUGAUACUGUUGUGAUGAAUCCUCCAUUUGGAACUCGAAAGAAGGGUGUUGACAUGGAUUUUCUAUUUGUGGCAUUGAAGGUAGCUUCUCGAGCUGUUUAUUCCUUGCAUAAGACCUCGACAAGAGAUUAUAUCAAAAGGACCGCCUCAAGGGACUUAAAUGCUAGCAGCGCUGAGGUCUUGUGCGAGGUCAGUAAAAGAAGCUUCACAAUUUACUGACAUUUCGAUUUUAAACCACAAAAUGUUUGUCAUUGCUUUGCCGAGUUGCUUUUGAAUCCCACUCCCCCGUUUCAUCUCCAGCUCCGUUUUGACGUUCCGCAACUAUACAAAUUUCACAAGAAAAAGGAGGUGGAUAUCGCCGUGGAUCUAUGGCGAUUCGUUCCCAGACGGAGUCGUGGGAAGGACGAUUAACUUUGGAAGUGCAGUUUAGGACCAUGCUUGAAGAAUAACUUGUUUAUUUCUAGUAUGUUAAUUUAAGACACUCGGUUAAAUUUCUAUAUAUCAGUUUCCUAGUAGUGUUCUUAAA